AAAAUUUGAAGAACAUCAGCGAUCUUCUUCUACUCAGUGAUUGCUAGGGUUUUUCUUGUGAAGAAAAGAAACAGACAAUGUCGUCAAUGAGUGGUUCCUCUCCGCUCUCUCUUUCUAAAUCGGGCACUACUACUUGUGCCACUCUUCUUCAACAAUUGCAGGUAUUCAUUUCAAACGCCUCCUCUUCUUCUUUUUUUUUUUUUUUGUUUGAAUGUGAUUUUGAAAGUGAUAUUUGGCCCUUUUUUAAAAAAAAUUUCUUUUGGGUAACCAGAGCUUUUUGUGGAGUAGGAUUGGCGUUGUAGGGAGAUACUAUAGGAAUAUUAAAUUGUAUUCUUGAGUAUAUUUAUUCAAUCAGUUUUUAGGUUCUUGUGCUUUCUUUUCUUGUUUCCUUUUUUUUAAUUGUGCGGGAGAUGCAGUAGGAUUUGUUGAGAAUUAACCAUAACUUCGUUUUUAUAGUAAUGUAUGUUUUAAUUAUCAAAUGGGUUUGUUCUUGUUGUUGCUCUUUUUUUUUUUUUUCCUUUUUCUCUUCUCUUUCUGGUAUACACACAUACAUACAUAUCUGCACUCACACACACACACACACAUAGGAGAAGAUCUAAAAUUUAUCGUAGAUAAGAGUUGUAUGCUACAAGCUUGACCUUUGAGGUUUCAGUGGUAUAUUAUUAGAUAUGCCAAUAACCAGAGACAGAGCUAGGAUUUGAAGUUUAUGAGUUCUGAAUUUAUCACUGAACCCAUAGUUUGUCUUAGUUACUGGGUUCACAAUUAAAUAUUUAUACAUAUUUUAUGAAUUUUCUAAUACAAAUACAAGUUUUAAGCAAAAGCUAUUGGGUACGUCCAAACCCCUUCCCUGCCAAUAACGGGUGUAUUCUUUGUUCCACAAAUGAAAUUGUGAAAAACUGACAGUGAAGGAGAGUUCUUAAAGUAGAAAUCUCUUGGUUGUUGGUUUAACGAAUUGGAUGUUUCAACAGUUUGCGAAUGUCAUUUGCCAAAUUUGGUUGAUUGUUGUAUUCGUUAUGGGCUCCUGUUUGGCAUCUUAAGUAUACAUCUUGAUAGCUCGGUUAUUGCUCUAUUUAUUAUUAAGUGUAUUAGAGUAUGUUUAAUUUUUUUAAUAGAAGUUCACGUUUUCUUAAUUUGGAGAAUGAUGCGUUUUGCUCCUACUUCCCCACUUGUGUCAGUAUCGACACCCUCAAGAAUAUAUAUUCUUUCUAGUUUAUUUCAUCUGCUGAAUUAUCACUUAUAUUGUAGGUAGAAUCUAAUCAAAUAAUCUUUCUUUUUUUGUCUGAAGGAAAUAUGGGAUGAGAUUGGUGAGAGUGACAGCGAGAGGGACAAGAAGCUUCUUCAGGUUGAGCAGGAAUGCCUUGACAUUUACCGCAGAAAUGUAGAGAAAGAGAGAAAAUACAGAGCUGAAUUGCAUCAGUCAUUAGCUGAGGCUGAGGCAGAAAUUUCCAAACUUGUUUCUGCCCUUGGAGAACAAGCUUCUUUGCCAUUGGUUUGUCCUUUGUUUCCUUCGAGUUGUUAACCUUCCUGUAUUCAGGUUUUAUAUUUUUUUUUUAAAUUUAUAAUUUACUUUUUUCCUUCCUUUUUAGUCUGGAAAGAUAAAAGGCACCCUUAAGCAGAAAUUGUCUGUCGUUGAUCCUGUGUUAAAGGACAUAAGGACAAAGAAACAAGAAAGGAUUAAGGAAUUCUUGAACAUAGAAACGCAGAUAGCGGUGAUUUGUGCAGAAAUAGCAGGAAAUGACAGAGUUAUUGGCCCCACAGAUAUUCAAGUAGAUGAACAAGACCUGACAGCUAAGAGAUUGGGAGAACUGAAGUCACAUCUUCAGGAACUUCAGUCUGAAAACGUUCCUCAACUGAUUUUUCUGCCUCUUAUUUUUACUGGAAUGAAACAAAUGACUUAUCAUUUCAAUUCAAUCUGUUAACUUUCAUCCUUUAAUGCAGAAACUCCGUUUGCAACGAGUGAAUAGUUAUAUGAGUGAAAUUCAUGAGCUUUCGGUUGUUAUGUCGCUUGAUUUCAAGCAGAUAAUAGCUAAUAUCAAUCCAAGCUUAGUAAAUCAUAUGACUGUACAAUCAAAGAGCAUAAGCAAUGAAACACUUGCUAGCUUGACCAGUGAAGUCAAUUCACUGAAGCAAUUGAAACAGCAGCGGCUAGAAAGGGUGGGUGAAUUAUCAAUCACAAUCUUUCCAGUGUUUCGCAAUUCACAUUUAGUGGAAUAGUCUCCCUAAAAUGUAUAGGGCGCAAACUUGCAGGCUUGUUUUUAAUUCGUUUUGAAUACACUUGCAUGGAUGCUAAUCAUAUCAGUGUACCUAGUGGUGCAUUCGCCUUCUUGUUUACAGCACUAAAUUUGAUAACAUGCAAGUACUGUUCCGUAUCAGUCUCUGGUCACAUGACAUUUUGAAAUAUGUGUUGCUGUUACUCAAAUUUCGGCUAAAUUGCAUGAAAUGAUUAACAGAAUGGUACUUGCUACAAAAUCUUAACAACUAAGAAUAUAAAUGGAUAAGCAUGACUGAGAAUUGUUAAUUAUUCUGCUUUUGUGCCAUUAAUUUCAGAUUUAAACUACCCUAUUUAGAAUGCACUCGUUAAUAUUGAUUCCAUCAGCAGCCAAGCUGUUUAUAUGAUGGAGCUUAUCCCUUUCCUUUAAAUGAUAAAGUCCUCUGUUUCUUGAAACCCGAUCUUUGGAGAAGGUCCAAUUUAUUUUUGUUUAUACAUUGUGGUGAUUGACGCUCGGUCACUUGGAACCUUGCCCCUUGUUUGAUUUGGACAUUAGACCCAUGUUCCAGUGAGUGCACCUGUUUUAUGAAGCGUAUAAAGUGAACUACGGAUAUUUCUAACACACAAGAUAGUAUAACUUCGGUAUUUCAAGGUCAAGAAAAUGUUCCCAGUUUGGAAUCUUUAGGGUAUUUCUGGUCCCGUGUUGAACACUAGAUUAGCACUUAAAUGUCUAUACCGGCAUACAUUUAAUGCUGAUUACUAAAUAAAACUUAACCUUAUAAAAAAUGAUAUUGAUUCUUUUUCAUUUUAUUUUAUUGGUGAAGCUUCAAGAUCUUGGCAGCUCCCUAAUAGAACUUUGGAACCUUAUGGACAUGCCAAUGGAGGAACAACUGAGGUUUAACCAUAUUACUUCCUUAGUUUCUUCCUCUAUUGAUGAGGUAUCUAAACAAGGAUCUCUUGCCAUUCACAUCGUUGAGCAGGUACAUUGAGUCAUUAUUCCUUUCUCUUUUCUCAUCUUAGUCUUUGGGGGAUGUGGGAAGAAAUCCCGCGAAGAUAUUCUUCUGGUUUUCAAUUUCAACUAACGUACUUUCUCUGUAGUCUCUUACUGCUUCUCAUUUCUAUCUUGGUAGGCUGAAGUGGAAGUUGAGCGUUUAAAUGUUCUAAAGACCGGUAAGCUGAAGGAAUUGAUAUUUAAGAGACAAAAUGAGCUCGAGGAAAUUUAUAGGAGUGUUCAUAUGGAUGUAGAUAUUGAGACUGCACGCCAGAUUUUAAUCCAGCUUAUGGAGUCUGGUACAUUCAGUUUACUUUAUGCUCAUUUCUGUUGUGUGACUUGAUGGGAUUUAACUGCUUCUUUCUUAAAACAAAAGUUAAUUUCUCUUGAAAAAUGAUUUUUCUCUUGAAUUAUUCCUGCUUUCAGUUUCCUUAUUUUGUUUCAACUUUCAACAGAUCAUUUGUUCUUCUAUUGUUGUAAUUAUUUGUGCUGGGUUUUAAGUGAGAAACCUGUUAAAUCCAUUUGUGAUCUUUUAGCGGUGGUGUGUAUGUUUUUUGGUAGAGGCAAAUUGGUGGGGGUGAUUCUGAAAAGUAAUGGUUGUUUUGGAUUAGCUUUCAUAUGCUGACAAAGGAAAGAAUCUGCCAUCUCUCAGUCUCACCUGUUAUAAAUUGCAUUUUGACUGUGUAUUAGGCUCUUUACAUCUGACUUGGAAAAGAACAGUUAGUGAGGGAUCUAAGUCCUUAUGUUGGAGAUGAUAUAGUCCUUGAUGGCAUGUUCUGCUCUUGCAUAUCCCUUCUUUUGAAUGGUCAACUCCAAAGAAACUUUUGUUGGUUACAGCUUGAGUUAGCAGUCAAAAUCUCUACCAGAAAUGGAUUUUCUCACAAUAGAUGAGAAGAUUAAAAUCUUCAAAGAACUAUUUCCAGAGGUUCUGAAGGACCUCUAAAUGAGUGGUCAACUGCAACAAGAGAAGGGAUAGGGCAUUAACCUAUGGUCAAUGAGAGGAGGCCUUACCUCUUAGAUGGCCCAAGCAAAUCAUUAAACUAUUGGAUGGAUCCUCCUAACUGGAGUUACAUAUGGUUGAGUAGUGGAUGAGGGCAACAGUUCUAAUAAGUUUAGGGCCUUAGGCUUAAGGUUUCCGCAGCAAAGCAAGUCUACUAGCUGCCAUUGCAGUUACUGAGUACUUAGGUCAAGAGUCCCGAUCUUAGUAGCUUGUAUUCCCCUCCUCACAAGAUAUGUUUUCCCCCCUCAUUUUUGCUCUCUUUUGUUUUCUCCAUGAAUGGCUCCUUAUCACCUUUGGUGAAAUGAAAGAAUAUAUACUAAAAUUGCUGGGAGAAAGGGGUACUGUCAAUAUCAAUUGACAGUUUACAACUUUGAUACUAAUGAUUCGAAAGAGGACAUGUACUUUUUUAGCUGAGUUGUGCUUUCAUUCUCGGUUUCUGUUGAUCUAGUUCAGUAACACACUAGCCCAUACUCUGAAGCAGGAAUGCAAAUGUUUCCAGGCCUCUUGCAUCUUAGCAUGUCUAUUCAGUGUUAUCAAAGGCAAAAAGUGCAAAAAAGCUCUAAGGUAUGUUGGGGCUUUAAGCGCAAAGCGUAAAUAAAGCGUGUGCUUUAACGAAGAAAGGCCAAAUAGAAAAAAACUACAAAUAUGUAUGUGUAGUCCAAAACUAACAUCUAUAAGCAUACCAAAUAUAUGGACUAAGAAAUUGAAGAAUAUUUACAAUAAAGUGAAAUAUCAAUUGUUUAGUGUGGCCUCUUCAGGAUUACGCUCAUUGGCAAGGAAAAGUAUGCCUUAGAGCUUUGAUGACAAUGCUGAAGCGCCCACUAAGCGAGGCGAAGCACUCAAUAUGUUUUAAGCCUCGCUUCAGGGCUUAAGCGCGCUUUUGGCGCGCCUUUGAUAACACUGUCUCUAUUGUUAUAUAUAUCAUCAGUUGAAUUGAAAGAUAGAUUUCAUUGGUAUUAGGUUUACGAUCUCUUAUACAUUCUUUUAUCAUAAUCCAAUACAGGCAGUGAUCUCUCUUAUCUUCUUUCAAGCAUGGAUGAUCAGGUGGUGAAAGCCAAAGAGCAAGCUGCUAGCAGGAAAGAAGUUUUGGAUAAAGUGGAGAAGUGGAAACAUGCAUCUCAAGAGGAAAGCUGGCUUGAUGAGUAUGAAAAGGUAUAACAUCGACAUAAAUAUAGGUGUUUACUUUUGCAUUGUACUCAGUUAUGAAUCAUAUGGAGCACCUGUACAUAAAGGACAUGCAUUUGAAUUUACCUCUUUCAUUUUCGUCUUUUUUAUCCUUUUUGCACCCAUCCUUCAAACAUUCUAAGAUCCUUAUAUUGUAGGUCAACUUUAUAUCUUUCAAAGAUAUGUCAUAAUCUAAUACCUGUUGCAAGCUACUUAGGGAAGUUUGGCAUGUCAAACUUAGUGUAGCCAAAAGUCUGCUUGCGAAGCUCAGUUCAAUGUGGAGUUGGUGCUUCGCAGCAUACACCGUGUACGUUCAUGAGUGUUCUUAAAAGAGGACAACGCUACAUAAUUAAUAUAGUUUGCAAAGCGAUAUCUUAAUUACUAAGAAUUGGAUAAAUAUGUUAGAAUUUUGGCAUAAGAAAUAAGAAAUUGAAAUGAAAAUUAGCAACUAAUGUGAAUCAUAAUUUAAAAUUGUUUUGAACUUGAUUGACAUGGUUUAAAAUUCAUUCCACUUAUUGCAGUUUUUCAAUAUUUUGGUCCAUAUAGGUAUAGUUGUAGAACUAGCAUUUUUCUUCUUUUGGUUACAUAUGAUUUUUUUUAAUUCUUCUUAUCAUCUACGUCCUUUAUUCACUAAAGCUAACACUUCAAUUGUACUUUGUGCUUAAAGCCCUGGUAGACAGAAAUCAAUUGUACUUUGUGCUUAAAGCCCUGGUAGACAGACAGUAUUAUAAGCUUUUUGUGAUAACAGUGGUCAAGCUACAAAAGUUACAUAGAGGCAUGCCUUGCUGGCCUUUUCUAAGUUGUUUGUGCUUAUAGGCUGGUAGCAAAUGCUGUGUUUAAGUGCAGUCAAGUAGUUCUCAAUUGGUUGAUAGCUUAUAUCAAUCAGUCUAAUUAUUCAUUUGUGUAGCUAAAAUUUGGGCAUUGUGGUAGUUGGAUGUGUCCCACAAAUUGUUUUGGGUGCUCUCUGUGAUACCCCAGAUAAACUGACCCUUUCUGUAUUACAUGCUUCUUAUGCUGGCAUAAAAUAUGAAACAUACGUGCAGUCUACAAAACUAGGUGAUAACAUGUUAACUCGAUUUGCUCAUCCCUUCAUCUCUAUCAUUCACUUGAAUCAUGAGUCUUUACCUUUUCUUAUUCCCUAGAUGGCUUGACUAGUUUUAGUUCAGGCGUUUUGAGGGCGUAAUAGAUCUGAUGCUGUAUAAGAUACAGUUUGCAACUUGGCUUCCCACUAAAUCAUGAUUCACUUGUUUUACAGGAUGAAAAUCGUUAUAGUGCUGGGAAAGGUGUCCACAUCAACUUGAAACGUGCAGAGAAAGCGCGGAUUUUGGUCAGCAAAAUACCAUGUGAGCCUGUACUCAUUUAUCUCAUGUGAUGUACACCUCUUCCCUCGUUCUCUCCUGAUCGACCACUAUUAGUAGCUUUGUGAAUCAACUGUUCCCUUUUGGAGGAUAAUCCUAUGCAUAAUUGUGGAUCUAUAUUAAUUACUUAUAUGCAGAAGCUUCUUGCUUUUGCUCAUUGCCCCAUUGCUUUCCUUUUUUUAUUUUCCUAUCUUCAAAUUUCUUCUCUUUUUAUGGUAACAAACAUACUAGUUCACCUAUUUCUCUUUGCAUUCUUUUGGUCCAUUGGGUUGGUUGUCCACUCUGGAAACUAAAUAUUCAGUUUCAGAGAGUGCUUGGUACUUGAAGUUAAAGUACCAUUCAGGUCUACUCAUUUGGUUUUUCUUUUUAUUGUUCCAUGUUACUUGGUAUAUUAUGUAAAUUUCAUUGAUCAGCUAAGCCUAAAAAGGUGCUUGUAGCCUGUAUGUAAGGUGGUAAUCACCUAGUACACUAAUGAAGAACCUGGUAAAUUUUAAAUUCAGGUCUAUUUUCUGCAAUUUUAAUAAUCUAAAGUAUGUUUGAAUAUUCUUUCUAUAUCAGCAAUUAUCAUAUAGUGACUGAAAAAACCUAUAAUGCAGCUCUUAUUGAAAACUUGACCGCCAAGGUAAAGGCCUGGGAGAAGGAGAAAGGAAUGCCAUUUUUGUAUCACAAAGUGAGUUCAACAUUUUCUUUGUUAAAGAUAUUAUUUUGUGGCAGUAGCUUCAGACCAUAACUUUUUUGUGUCUAGGCCCCUCUGUUGCAUACUUUGGAAGAGUACAUCAUCUCACGACAGGAGAAACAAGAAGAGAAGCGUAGAUCUCGGGUAUCACUUUUUAUUCUCCUGUCUGAUACUUGUUUCUGAAUCUUUUUUUUUCUGACGUUAGAGAAGAACUACUCUUAGCCGAGCAAGGGUCUAUAUCAUAAACUUUGCAUUGUUAUUUUGUCUUGGUUGAUUUUGAUAGAUAAUUAGCACUUCUAGUUAAACUGUUGGACUUUUGUUGGUUGCUUUGUGAUUGUGAUUGUGAUCGUAUUAGCAGUAUAUGUUGUGUGAACUAUCUAUUAGUAUGUGUGCUUUAAACUGAAAAUAAUUGUGUUGGAUGUUUUAACCGUGCAUACCAUUGUCAUUAUAGCACAGGAGUUAGAUUUGGAUGCUUGGAUGAUCAACUAUAGUGUAUAUAUUUCAGGAACAAAAACGGCUCCAAGAUCAAUUUGCUGCAGAACAAGAAACAAUCUAUGGUUCAAAGUCUGCCAAGAAACCUCUGGGUAAUGCUAACACAAUACUUGGUACUCCAAAUAGUCGUCGUGUAUCUACACCUUCAGGUCGUUAUGGUGUGUCCAUAGGGAAGGAAAAGAGAGGGAGCGGUAAUGUUGGUGCUGUAAUACCUGUAAACUACGUAGCUCUUGCGAAAGAUGAUCAGAAGUCUGGAGGAUUAUAGACUGAAACUUUGACUCGUAGAAAGAUCAUACAUACUGUUGUUUUUGCACAAACUAAGCCAUUUGUCCUUUGUGGUAGUAUAGCAUAUCAGAAUAAAAGGCCACGCGUAUUCAUUAUUCUUUUCCCAUUUACAGAGGUUUUAGAAGUCUGCUAUGAACUCGGGAAUGAAAAUGCAUAUAUCGUCCUCUUCAUUUUCUUUGCAGAAUUGUCUUAUCAGAUGUCUGGUAAUUUGGCUUUAGUGUUUGGACAUAACUUUAACCAAAUUUUAUGUGCAAAUUUGUAACGGACUAAAUGACCCUUUAGAGUUUUGAGUUUCAAUUUGGCAAAGAAUCCCACAUGCGAUAUUCUUCAGAAAGGAGUUUAGAGUGCUGAUAAUGCAGGCUCAAAGUUUGAAAACGAGAAAUUGCACAAAAACCUAUUUGAUGACAAGGAUGUUAAUAGGGAGUUAUAAAUUACUGUAGUAGCUUAUGCGUUUUGUGAACUUUUCUGCAUAUUCUAAAGUUGGCUGUUAUGUUAGUUGUAGCGCGCCUUCCCUCUUCUCACUUUGGAAAGAUUUUUCAGUAUUUUCUUACGAUGACUUGGUCUCGAGAGUAAAAGAUUUCUUUUUUUCUGUGAGCUUGGUUUACUUGACCGAAGUAUAAUGCUGUAAAUUGUCAUAUAUCGCCUGGCAAAAAGAAAAGAAAAAAGAUCUUACUACUAUUCAGUCACUUGACAAUGAACUGAAUUAUUCUCCUCCCUCCAAAUAUAUAUAUAAAGUUGAACAGAUUUAAUUAUCCGGGUACCAGCUGUAGUUUUCACACAACUAACCAGAAUUCCAGAAACAUUAUAAUUUUUCAAUGAAGUACUAACUGAUAUUAAAGUUAAAAAAAUCAAAGAAAUUGGACUUUGGGCUCAAAUUGUAGUAAUAAUUUGACUCUUCAUGUAACAACUAAGUCAAACAAAUAAAGUACAACAAAAACAAAAAAAAAACAAAAACACUUUUUCUGGGAAGUGGCUGUUUGCACCUGGGUAAUCCUAUUCUUCCCAUUUGGUUUUCUUUUACAUGUCCACUGCAAUUCGUUUAUACAACUCCGCCGGCAAUCUGGGAGUGGCAUCGGCCUGUAAUGGAGUCUUCAUGUAGGUAACAAGCCCAGGGUUCUCACCCAUAUCAAUCUCCUCUGGGCUCAAUCCAUUAGAAGGAGCCCAAUGAAAAUGGUGCAAAAGAUGGCCCAACAUAGAGGUGACCAAGUUGAUACCCAAUUGUGCCCCUGGACAUACUCUUCUACCAGCACCAAAUGGGAGUAGCCUAAAAUCAUGUCCCUUCAUGUCCACAUCUUCCUCAAGGAACCUUUCAGGUCUGAACUCCAAUGGGUUCUUCCAUACCUUUGGGUCGCGAGCAACUGCCCACACGUUUACAUGCACGUUGGAGCCCUUAGGAAUGUCGAAGCCACCAAUCUUGACGUUGGUGUUGGCUCUGUGUGGGAGCAUUAGAGGAGUUGGAGGGUGCAGCCUUAGCGCUUCCUUGGCCACGCAUUGUAGGUAUGGGAGGUUGGGGAAGUCUGUUUCGUUCAUCACACGCUCGUAGCUGACCACUCGGUCGAGCUCUUCUUGGGCCUUCUGCUGCACUCUUGGGUUCUUGAUCACCUCAGCCAUUGCCCAUUCAACAGAGAUUGCAGUUGUGUCCAUUCCAGCUGUGAUCAUAUCCUGCAAUUUCAAUGAGACCAGUUCAGAGUUCAUCCCCAAAAUGGCACUCAGUAUUAUAGGUGUUCAUCUAAGCAUAAUCCAUUAGAUAUUUCAUUUCUCAUUUUAGCUCAUUUUUGUGAAUCAGAGCGACUCGGAGCGCCAAAUGGCUGAAUCUCAUAAGAACGUGGCAGCAAUCAUUUUAGCUCUUUUUGUGAGGUAAGUGUCUAUUAAUUUACUUACCCAAAGUAAGCCAAUGAGAGUGUCUUCACUUAGGUCAUAUUUCUGUUGGAGGGUCAGCAAUGCAUCAAAGAAGUGUUGUUUGGCUCCUCCACUCUGUUGGCGAGCAAGGGUGUGCUCCUCCAUAAUAGCUCGAGUAAGACGGUCCCUACGUGCCCCGUGCUUAGCAAAGGCGUCCUCGUCAAUAGGGAACAUCCAGCGAAGCCAUGGGAUGUGUUCGGCCAUGGCAAGGGAUGCUCCAAGCUUCAAUCCAUUAGCGACAAUCGCCUUGAACUCGUUUCCUUGUUCAUCCAUCACACCUUCAAAGUUUACAAACCUCUUCCCAAAGGCAAGUCUUGUUAUGUUGUUAAAGGCCACUGCUCCAAGGUACUUCUUCACCAGCAGACUCUUCCCCACAUUAUCUACACAAACACCAUAUUCUUAGGCAUUUAGCACCAUAUGUUCACGGUUGAGUACUCGAGAUANNNNNNNNNNNNNNNNNNNNNNNNNUCCAUGGUGACUCGAACCCAAAACCUAACGGUCGUAGGUGGAGGUGCUCUUACCAAUUGAGCAAGCCUCACUUGUACUAGUUGUCGAUAAUAUCAUCUAAAAUAUAAGUAUAGGUAAUUGUCCCAUAAAAGUGGGAUUAGUAGCCUAAAAAAUAAAGGAAGAUACCUGCCAUAACGAUUAAAAUAUAAUUACAUAACGUAAAAAUUCUUUACAUUGUAAUUGCAUCUAUAAGUUAGAUCCUAAUAUAAAAAGCAGUAAGACACCAAAUAAUGAUUUUUUUGCAGGGUGAUCAUAAUGUCACGUGAUCCUCACAUGACAUUGGACAGACCAACUUAGCGAUUAUAGCGGGUCUUUUCAAAGUUUGGUGUACCAUUUUCAAGUACUAUCAUUAACCACCAAACACGCCUGCUUGUUAAGAUGGUCAACUAUUCACCAUUUCUUUUUCUUUUUUUUGCAAAAGGUUAGGUUGAUAUUAGUCAACCCAUCCAUAUUAUUUGACCCCAUUACCCACCAACCCCCUGGGUCCCAAAUAACAAAGAGAACCACCAAGGCACCAAACAUUCACCAAACCAAACGAAAGCUCAACUCCUAAUAAAGAAAGAAUAACUCCUUUUCUUAUCUACAUCCACGUAUAUGGAUGUAUCCAGGAGAUUUACUUAGACUGGACAAUUAGAAAUUUCAAAAUUCCACAUACAGAAGAAAGAAACAAUUCUUUUUUGAAUAUUCCUAGAGCGGGUAUAUUCAGUCGUGUUUUUUCCUUUAAAACUGAAAGAGCUAGAUAUUAAACUUUUUAGGAGUAAAAGUAUAGACAUCUUCAUACUAUAAUUUUUCAGUAAUUUACUAAAGUAAAAAAGGAAAUUUUAAGGCAUGAAUAUUCUAAAAAGGAAACUAUUUUAGUACCUCAAAUACAAAAUAAUCUGAGUGGAUUCUAAGGUUUUAAUAUGGUUUUACUCGAUAAUGUGUCUAAGCAUCAUAGCCAUUACAGUAAAAACUAAUAAACGGAAAUUAAAUAACCAACUGAAAAUACAUAAGAACAUUAAACAAAAGAGGAAGGCUAAAUUUUAGUAAAAACGUACCAGGAUUAGUGCAAUCUCUGUAAAUGGACUCCACCAUAGCAGUGACCUCAUCUUCUCGAAUGGGCCUAAGGGCUUCAAGCCUUUUGGGCGUAAAAAGCUCGAUUGUACAAACCUUUCUAACCUUAACAUAAUGAGGGCCAUAAUCGGCCCAAAUAAGAUCUUGCCCGUCUCUGCUAAACUUAGCCGCCGAUCGGCUCCUGUGCCGGUCAGCCAACUGCUGGUCCUUUUCUUUCAGAACUUCCUUAGCUAACUCCGAGCUGGAAACGACGACGUUUAAGGUCGACCCGAACCAAACCGAAAUGAUAGGUCCGUAGGUUUGGGCCCAUUCGUAAAAGCAUCGAAACCUGACGGGCUUUAUCUGGUACAGAUUUCCGACGAUGGGCCGUGGACUUGGGCCCGGCGGAAGCUUGAAUCGGAGACGAUAGUAAAGGUGAUAAGCUAUAAAUGUGAAAAUGAAAGCUAAAGGAAUUGCAACAGCUAAAGAAAUAGCCAUUGUUAGUGAUAUUUGAGGAUUAGAAGGGUAGGAGGUUUUAUAUAACAACUGAGACAGAGGGAAAAGGGAGGUGGAGGGAGUUGGUGAAGGGUAUUUUAGUCUUUUAAGGAAAUGGUUGUUGGUGCUUUUGGUGAAGAGUAUUGUCUUGGUUUUAGAAAAUGGAAAACACGAAGGGUUGGGGAUUUUAAAUUUGAAAAAGAAAAUUAGGCAUACGAAUCUUGUGAAAUUUUGAUUGGUGAGGAAAGUGUAUAGGGUGAGUUUAUCUAUUAGUAAUAUCUUUGGUUAAUAGUAGUAUUUAUUUUUUUUAAAGUUUUUUUCCCUUUUAAGCAAGAUAUACAAUAUCCUUAAUUAUUACGAAAUUUCUCUAAAAUACCUUUUAUUCCAAUAAAUGUUUCAUUAAUUAGAACAAUAAGGGCGAAUAACAACAACAACGACCCAGUAAAGUCCCACUAAGUGGAGUCUGGGGAGGGUAGUGUGUACGCAGAUCUUACCUCUACCCCGAUAAUAGGGCAGAGAGGUUGUUCCCGGUGAAUAUGAAAAAAAAAUUAGUAAAUACUUUUUGGAAGGUUAAAUAUGUUGAAAUAAAUUAAGUUUGAUUAAACGAUUAAUACUCCGUAACAGGACUGAAAUAUAUAAAUAGGAAAAAAGGUAAAAAUAUCUAACACCUCUUGUUUAAACAUUUUGACUAACUCUUGACAAUGGGAGUUUGACGCAAAUGCAAGAGUGUUCUGAUUUAUUGUCAAAUAGCCCAUGAUGUGCUCUUUUUUUUUUUUUUCCGAAAGGAGGAAUAAAACAAAAUUUAAUUAUUGAUCUUCACUUAACUUUUUAGUGUUUAAGACAUAAUUCUCAAUAUAACAAUAACCUCCCUCCUUUUGUCUUUCAAUGCCAAUGUUAGUAACAUGUAUGAUGUUUUGAAUAUUUUAUCUUCUAUGAAAAUUUUUACGAACUUAUUAUAUCCUGACGUUAUUGAGGAUGUUCUUAUAUAUGACAAAUUUUAUUAAACAAAACAAAUGCACUUAGUUCACAUUCGAUCAAGCUAUUUAAUUAAUCAUCGUGUCUCCACGGUUAAUAUAAACAUACAGCGCAUAGCAAGGUUUACAUGAUGCCUAAGAAUUCAAAUUCAUUUAGCCUUGUAUUUAAAUGAGGAAUAUGAAUAGUGAGAAUCAUAUAGUUGAUUCAUCUUAUUUGAAAUUCAGGUAUACUUAUUAUUGUUGUAAAGACAAAUGAGCUAUACACGAGCAAUGGCUGAGCUAGGGAGGCAGAAGAGUUCAUCCGAACCCCCUUCUCUCGAAAAUUACACUGUGUAUGUGAGGUAAAAAAAGUAAUAUAUGUAUACGUAUAAGAUGUUGAAUCCCCUUGGCUUCUCCACAUAUUUAAUUUUUUAUUUAUUUUUUGAACUUCUUUGUAAAAAUUCUGGCUCUGUCAAUAUAUAGGAGCGCCCACACAGACGUAUUCUUUUUUAGCUUUAGGAGCAGUUGUUGGAAAUACUAAUGAAGAUUGGAAAACAAUAUGCCCGCCCAUAGAACGAUGUGGUUGGUAAAAUGGACCCACCUUAAGUAGGUAUCCAGUAUGGGAAUUAAGGUAUAGCCAAUGAAAGGUUUACAACUCUUUUUUUUCCAAACAUGCGGGCAAACUGCAAAAUUGAAAAAAAAAAGGGUGAGAAAAAUGGAAAGAAGUAAGAGUAUAUUAAGAGAAGCUGGGAUAGAACAUAUAGAAUUGUUUUUACUGGUAAAACGGACCCACCUUAAGUGUAUAUAGUCACUAGUGGAUAGAGAUCAGUACAUAAUACAUAAGAUUUACCUAAAUAACAUAUACAGAUGACUCAUACGGAAUAUGAUCAUUUAACUAAUUCAAUUAAAUUGAUUGUUGACACGCAGAAUAUUUCUCUUUGAAUAAUAGUAUUACAAAAACUUACUGGAAUAUAUAUAUACUAGGUCAUCUACCAAUAUAUAACAUGAAAACUAAAUGGUUUGUCCUAAGAGAUGUCAGAACUUGAGCUUGAAGUGUCCUGAGGGGCUUCAGAUUGGACCUCAACUUGGGGAGCAGGAGCUUCUGGAGCAGAGCUUUCAACUUCUGGUGCAUUUGGUGCUUCAGUUUCUGGUGCUACUGAAGCUUGAACAACUUCUGGUGCAGUUGGUGCUUCGGUUUCUGGUGCUACUGAAGCUUGAACUAUUUCCGCUGGCUUAAACUUGUUGAUAUAGUAGCUAAGGGAUGGUCCUGAGUACUCCAUUGUUUGUACCGGAGGAGGUGAGUUCUUCCCGACUUGAAGGAGUAUCGAUGAAGCAGCUGCAAUAGAGAUUAAGGCUAUCCCAGCUGCAAUAGCUGCUGUGUUCUCUGCUCCAUCAGAAGUGGAGCCUGCACUCCCAGAGCUGAUACCACUUUCUGCUACAUAAACUGCAGGCUGUUUCCAAAGUGAGCAACGUUAGCGACGCAGAUAACAUAACUGAAUCCAUACAGGUCUUCAGAUAAUAAUAUUUCCUCUAAAAAGGGCUAAAAGAGGAUGAUGAUUCAGUGUGAUACUGCCAAGAUAUACUCUCGCCCAUCAUAUAUUGUACCGAACUAUUCAGUAGCUGAGAUGGAUUUUGGACAGAAUCACAUUGAUCCUAAAUGAAGUGAGAGGCCAGGGGGCAGGGAAAAGGGCCGAGUUGAUCAGCAUUGGCAAUCAGGAGAAGCAAAACGGCUUGUCUUGUGGAAAAGCAGAAGAGCAAUUGGUAUGUUAUGAUUCAUCGCAUGACUCCUUUCUAGAAUCCUGAUAUGUCCAAGAUUCAAUUCAUGAUAUCUCUAGAAUAAAUACCUUAGGGCCUGAAAAUUUGAGAUCUGAGAUCUCUACAUCCUCAGCUUUACAUAGCCUACAUACUUUAGUUAUGCCAUCCUGGCUCCAUAUAUUGUCCCAAGUGAAAUAGCAAAGGAUGUAAGGUAUGAAAGUUAGAUUUAGAAUCCUGAUAUUUCCUAGACCAGAUUCAUGAUAUCUCUAGCAUAAAUACCUUAGACACUGAGCAUGUGAGGUCUGAGAUCUCUAUACUUCCUCAGCUUUACAUGGCCAACAUCCUUGAUCUUUUGGCUAUGCCCACCUGGCUCUAUUCACUUGAAUAUACUACUGUUUAUCUUUUUCAAACAUGCUGUGAAUUGCUUUUUACCUCCACAAGGUAGGGGCAAAGUGUGCGAACACAUUGGCCUCCCCGGACCCCACACUGGUUGUUGAUGUAUUUUUUUGUUUACUAUUCACUAGAAUAAUGGAAGAUAGAUUUAGCCCGUGCGGAGAAAAGCUGAGAAUUAGAAUAAAGCUAGAAAUAUAUAAACCCUCCUUCUCAAAACUAGAUUUGGUCUAGUGCAUAUGUGGAUUAAGAAAACUCAUAUGGGUGGGCCUUCCAGCCCAAUACCUCACAGUAAAAAGUGAAACAGCCUACAACCAUUUACUCUGUCCAAGCAUCACUAUAAAUAACUUGCAGUUGCAGUGGUAAUACUAUAUUGAUACUUGAAGCUGAACUUCAACAAAAUGAAAUAAAGAUUGAUUCGUUUUUGUAAUUCAACAGACAGAUUUCACUACGAGAUAGUUUCUCAUGUGAAGAGCUAAGGCAUGCCAUAAUCUGAAACUUCCUUUUGCUCCAUACCAUCUGAACAAUGUAGUUUCAGGAGAACUUAUGUAAUUGCAGAACAUAGAAGUACUAACCUCAACAGAGUAUAUAUUUGUCUGCCCAGCAGUAUCCUUCUCAACAUACCCAGUCCAGCCACGCUUGCGAGGUGGAAAGGUCCCAACCACUUUGGUGUUGUCCCCAGCUACCCACUCCAUGCUCACCUUCCCAACCUGUUUCAAAAGAAAAAAAAAUCGUAUCAAUACUUUUUCCAGUGUGAACUACCAUCUUGCUGGACAGUAUUGACAUACAAUGUCGAUUCAAUAAUGAUUAUUAUAAAAAGCUCUAAAAUAUGGGCUGAGGAGACAUAAACUCAAAAUUACUACAAAAAUUGUAUAGGUAUUGUUUGCAAACUUUUAUAUUAUUGAUGAAAAAUAAUGAUUAAAUGCUUUUGGUACAUUUGAAAUGGCUUAACAGUGAUACUGUGAGCUAUCGACUGUGCUUUUCCUUUUUUCCCCCCGACUUAUAAGCUUAAUAUCGGCGAAGGAGCUAGCUGAGAAGUUCUUUAAAUAUUAAUGUCUCAAAUACAAUGUCUUUUUUUAUUAGGAAUGUCUGAAUUUUAAUGUUGCACAAAAAGGCAAAAGCUACGAAGAAAUGUACACCAAGUUUGCUCCUUCCUUCUCAAACUCGCUCUAAAGGAGAUACGAAGGCUUCAUUAUCCACAUCCUUCUAACAGCUAGUCAUAUCAAAUGGUAUUUCUCUCAAUAAAUCUUUCCCCAAAAAAAAAUCAAUUUGCUCUAGUUUUUUCCUAAUUCGUAGCAACAUACUUAAAGAUUUCCUCAUUAGAUAAGAAAAAAAAAAGUAUUCCAUGUGUCUCUAUAUGCCUAAACUAUUACAAAUCUCCUUUGCAGCUUUUUCCAGAACUGGCUCGCCGAUCUUAUACAUUCUAAAUGAAAUUAAACUGCUUACUGCUGCCAUCUUGACAAGUUGUAGCAGUAGACAUAAACAUAUCAUUAUCACUCAAAAGAGCCCGUGCACAGUCUUUAACUAAUUUUAAUAAAAUAGUCUAUAAUUACAACACUAUAGUAUUUUCUUCCCCCAAAUAUUCAUAAGUAGCCAUAAUUGUUAGCCAUUUUGAGAAUUCUCUACGUAUUUAAACAAUUCCUCAAAAAUUCAAGAAAAAAGAAAAAAAUUCACUCGAGGGAGUACAAGACUGUACAUUCCCGCUUGCGUUUUCAAUCUGUCAACAAGUAUUAAUCUACAUACACAAAUUCAACAAGGAAAAGAAGUAGUAUAUAAUUAAGCAAGAGGAAAAUUGACCUCCUUAUCAGGGGCACAUUCUUCAUCAUUGCAAUCAGCAUCAUCAGUUGAAGCUGCCCUAAUUCUGAAUCGGAUAAGACUCUGCCUUUGUCUCAACUUUGAGUCUUUCUGAUAUGUGGAAAAGCUCAAUCGUCCACUCGAAGAUGAGGCUAUGGCGCAGCUGUUUGCUGAUAACGCAGCGCAAGCCAUUAUUUUUUUAGCUGCCCAACAAAAGCUUUCAAAUGGUUGUGCCUAUUAUGUAUAUUGAGGAGAUGAAGCAGAACCACUUGUAGAAUUUUUUGCUUCUUCGAUUGGCUGUGUUUGAGCCUCGAAAAUCCUUUCCUUUUGAGGAUGCUUUGGUUUUUGUGGUUUGAUUUGAAUGCACGUUGAGUGGGUUAUGUGUCCUACAUUUCACUCUUUCUAAAAGUAUUAAAUGACAACUAUAUCCCUCUUUGUCAUUUUGUGACAUCCAAAAUGGAGUACUAAAUUUUGAUUAUUAAAAUUGAUUAAAUAUAAGAUUUUGCGAAAAGUAUGGUUUUUAGCAGAAAUAAACGGCACUAUAUGAGAUAUAAUAAAAUUUAGAGAUUAUAUUUAAGGAAAAUAUUUUAUGUAAAUAUGCAUUGAAAUAAAUUUCAAGAUAGUUUUGUUUGUAUUUGGCACGUUAUGUUUGUGACAAAUAUAUUGUGAAAUAACAUUGCUUGUGAAAAUUCUAAAUUGGCUGAGCUAAGCAAGUGCGAGCAGCCAAAUAUUCCAUGGUGUCUCUUACGUUCAAUUGCGUAUAUCUAAGAUCGCUCCACAGAAAUGUUGGAGUUUUGAGCGGGGAAAAAAAUUUAAAAUUUUUGAAAAAUUCAUUGUCAAAAAAUUAUCAAAAACUUGCAAAAUUCAAAGACAAACGGGGCCUAAAUUGAAUCGAAGUGGGCACAUGACAAAUUAUACCACCAUAAUAGUCGAUGAAGUAAAUUAAAGCUUAAUAUAUGUGGAUGGAGACCAGUCUUUCCUUAUUUUGUACCACUGCGAGACCAAUUUGGUAGGGUUUUGUCUAAGAUAGUUAGUGGCAAUGUUGCAUCUUUCUUCUAAAUUUCAUGUUGUUCUUGUUUUUCAUAUGAUAUCUUUGCUGAUACUAAUAUUUUGUCCUUUUGUUUUCUUGAGCCGAGAGUCUUUCGGAAACAGUCUCUCUACUCCUUCGGGGUAGCGGUAAGGUUUGCGUACACACUAUCUUCUCCAGACGUGAGAUUUUAUUGGGUUGUUGUUGUAAAAUAAUAUAUGCCAGAUAAAUCCAUCUCAACCGCCUUGCGGGCAGUUCAAUUGCAUGAGUCGCAAUCUGAGUUUCUGAGUUUUAGCAUAUGUUUUAGGUUCGAGUAAUCAAAAAGGUCAUGUACGGUUAUUAGUGAGUCUGGAGAAGGCAUAUGAUGUUUACCAUUGUUCUCAUUAUUAUUAUUUAAUAUGUUUAUACACUGAUAUAUUCACUUUUAGCCCACGCGAAAACUAUAUACAUUUGGUAGCUGAAAAAAUAUAUAAACUUUGUAUAAUUUUUGCAUAUAACAUACAAUUAUAUAUAUAUCGACUAUUAUUUUGAGAGCGGUUAUACAACUGCUAAGCCCAAUUCCCAAAGUUGACCGGGACCUCAUUUUCAAAGACUCUGUAGACAUUUAAUUGCUCAUGCACAUGAUGAACAUAGUAUUUUUCAUUUAUUUGUUUCUGACAACAUUUACUCUCCGGUCCAACCUCAUUAAUUUCUUUCCGGUUCCAACGCUUUUCAUUUCUUCCUUUGCAGCCACAUUUUCUCUAUCACACACACAAAAAAUGUCCAUAGCUAACUUACCUGAUUCCGCAAGCGGAGUAAUUAGCCUCAGAUAUGGUAUGGCCAUUAUCAUUGGCAUUUUGAUACUCAUUUCUCUUAUCAUGUUUGCUUCCUACGCUUGUCUUCGUCUCAAAUUAGCUGCUUCUUCUAACACUGAAGACUUCACACCUGCAUCUUCCAAUGGGGCUAUAUAUAGUUACUUCCUAGGAUUGGAUCAGCCCGUUAUAGAGUCAUUUCCCAAAGUGGUUUUAGGUGAAAGCAAGAGAUUGCCCAGUCCAAUUAAUACAAAUCUAUGCGCUAUUUGCUUGUGUGAGUAUUGUGCGAAAGAUUUGGUUCGUUGUAUACCGGAAUGUCGACACUGUUUUCAUGUAGAUUGUGUUGACGAAUGGUUGCGGAAGAGUGGGACUUGUCCAAUUUGUAGGAACUCUCCAGCUAAUUCUCCAUCUGUCGGUCCAACUUCGACUAUGCCUAGUAAUAUUCCUCUUGCCCAAUUAGUACCCUUGGCUUAUUAUCAGAGAUGAUGUUGUUGCAAAGGUGUAGGUUUAAAUUAAAUAGUAUAUAUAGUACUUCUUGUUUUGAAUUCUGUUUUCUUAUUACAAUUUGUGUACAAUCUUGUUCCUAAAUUUAUGUAGAAAUUGUACGUUUAAGUUCUUGUUUUAAAUUUUAUCAUUCUCCAUUUUUUGUUACCUUUGAGUGCUGUGUAACACAUUUCGUGUUUUUAAAAAUUAAGUCAAGAAUAGCGCAUUAAAUAGUUAACUUCAGAAGUAUAAUAGAAGUUACAAUCUUUUGGUUCGUGGCAAGGGGUAUGUAACUGGAAAUUGGUCAAAGUUCAGGAAGAUAUCUAUACAUUUUCCCUAAAACAUACAUAAAGUUCUUGUUCGGUUGUAUGUUUACACUAACAUAAAAUUCAUUAUUACUCGUAUACGGUUUAGCUGUCAUUUUUGUUGCCCGCCUAAGUAAAUACAUACAUGACUUAUGUAGGUAUCUAUGUAUUAUUUAUACAAGAUUGAAUAAGAAUACAAGAUCGGUAAUGCAUGAGUUUAAGCAACUAAAUUUUUCAAAACUCAUGUAUUCAACAAUCUUUUUAUAAAAAAAAUUAAACAAGCCACAUAUUGAUUAAAAAAAGGGGAAAAAAGAGAGAGAACAAAACCACAUAAUUUUCCUUUAAAUUAUACAUCGUCCAAGAAAUAAUAUUCCUAUACUAAUUCAUGUACUAUAAUCAAUGUACUAUUGCAAUACUAUCCCUAAAUUACAAUCCAUGUUAUCCCCUGCAUAAUUUAAUCAAACUGGCCCCAAGGGCAUUUGGAGGAAGAAUUCUAUUCCGUAGUAUAAACUUUUAGGCGUCGUUUGUUCGUAAUUUUCUUCUUCUUUUUUUCGGACAUUUAUUUCAAAAACAUGUUUGUCCAUGAAAUUCUUUAUUGAAAAUAAGUUUUUCAAAGACUGAAAAAAAUUUCAAGACUUUUUUCCUACUCACAAAACUACAACAUUUUUUCAAAUAAAAUACAAGUCCAAACAUAAUUUUAAAUUCUGAAUAUCAUUUUUCAACUUAACUACAAAUAUUAUUUUUUUCGAAAAUUUUAAUUUUUAUAUCCAAAUGCCCUACUUAGUUUCUUGACUUAACAGACUGAAAGUAAGCCCUGACCCUCCUAAUUUCUCUUCCAUAACUUUAGAAAGCCUCUCAAACAUGGAAGGUGUAAAAUAAUUGACCCAAUCCCCAAUCUCACCUUUCCUAAACAAAUUCCUGUUUUCAAAAUCUGAAAUGGCCCCUUUACCUUUCUUAUUUACUUGUAAAUCCCUCAAGUUCUGAAAACUACAAAGAGAUGACACAUCUUUUAUAAUUCCUCCCUUUUCCUCCUCCUUUGUAAAAGGAAAUCCCAAGAAAUCAGCUAAUCUCUUCAAUUGAUUACACACAUCCAAUUUCAUAUCCUCAUAUUUUAAAAACAAGACCUUAUUUGGAUUUUCUAAACUUUCUCUCCAGUACCCCAACAUAUGUUCCCAAUAAGGACCAAACCCUAUAACUCCCCUACAGUACAAAUCAAAGGCUUCCUCAAGAGUAAAAGGACCUAAAGAUUCAGGUCUAAUUUUGACUAGGUAAUGCCAAACUGAAACAAAGGCGUCAAAAGGGUUCCGACAAAUGUAAACAAUUUUGCAUUUUGAGGUCUUAACUGAAUUUGGUAAUGCCCCAAAAGGGACGUGAGUAGCAACAAGGCGUGGAGAAGGUAAAAGAGAGAGAUCAGGAAGGGAAUUAAAAUCAGCGUAAAGUUUGUAUUCAAGAAAUGGGACAAGUUCGUGAGGAUUAUGAGUGAGUAAAGGGUGAUUAAUAUUCUUUUGUUGGACGUUGAAUUUGUUGCGGUUUACAAUGGAGAAAGUGAGUGCUUUUAGCCAUGUAGUGCCAGAUUUUGGUAUGGACGCGAGAAUUAGGUCGUUGUCUUGAGCUUUAAAGUGUUUUUGUGUCGAAAUUAUGGCUCGGAUUUCUUUGGGUUGACACCAAAAGUUUUGGAAUAGGAAAAGAUUGGGUGUUCUCCACCCUUUUUCUUUGGGAAGAGAAUUGAAAAACUCAUCAAGAUCGUCAGUUAGAGUUUCUUGUGGUUGUUCACUUUUGGAUUGGCUUUUGAGGAAAUUUGUAAUAGUCAUUUUAGCUAGCUAAGUUAUCGAGGGCAAGGAUAUGAUUUGCAUGAGAAACUAGAGCUAUAUAUAUACUAGUAGUGAAAUGGUCUCGG
rnacentral:lncRNA from 1 species